rnacentral:rRNA from 1 species
GACGAACGCUGGCGGCGCGCCUAAAACAUGCAAGUAGAACGAGAGGCCCGGGCUUGCCCGGGUGGACAGUGGCGAACGGGUGAGUAACACGUGAGGAACCUGCCCAGAAGACCGGGACAACACCGGGAAACCGGUGCUAAUACCGGAUGACCUCACCGGAUCGCAUGGUCGGGGGAAGAAAUGGAUUCCGCUUCGGGAUGGCCUCGCGGCCUAUCAGCUUGUUGGUGAGGUAACGGCUCACCAAGGCGACGAAGGGUAGCUGGUCUGAGAGGAUGUCCAGCCACACUGGGACUGAGACACGGCCCAGACUCCUACGGGAGGCAGCAGUUAGGAAUCUUGCGCAAUGGACGAAAGUCUGACGCAGCGACGCCGCGUGCGGGAUGAAGGCCCUCGGGUUGUAAACCGCUUUCAGCAGGGACGAAAUUGACGGUACCUGCAGAAGAAGCCCCGGCCAACUACGUGCCAGCAGCCGCCGUAACAC